GACGCACGCUGGCGGCGUGCUUAACACAUGCAAGUCGAACGGAAAGACCCUGCUUUUGUGGGGUGCUCGAGUGGCGAACGGGUGAGUAACACGUGAGUAACCUGCCCUUGACUUUGGGAUAACUUCAGGAAACUGGGGCUAAUACCGGAUAGGAGCUCCUGCUGCAUGGUGGGGGUUGGAAAGUUUCGGCGGUUGGGGAUGGACUCGCGGCUUAUCAGCUUGUUGGUGGGGUAGUGGCUUACCAAGGCUUUGACGGGUAGCCGGCCUGAGAGGGUGACCGGCCACAUUGGGACUGAGAUACGGCCCAGACUCCUACGGGAGGCAGCAGUGGGGAAUAUUGCACAAUGGGCGGAAGCCUGAUGCAGCAACGCCGCGUGCGGGAUGACGGCCUUCGGGUUGUAAACCGCUUUCGCCUGUGACGAAGCGUGAGUGACGGUAAUGGGUAAAGAAGCACCGGCUAACUACGUG
rnacentral:rRNA from 1 species